rnacentral:tRNA from 1 species
GGUAGUGUGGCCACAUGGUCUAAGGUGCUGGGUUAAGGCUCCAGUCUCUUCGGGGGCGUUGGUUUGAAUCCCAGUGCUGCCA